GACGAACGCUGGCGGCGUGCCUAAUACAUGCAAGUAGAACGCACAGUUUAUACCGUAGCUUGCUACACCAUAACCUGUGAGUUGCGAACGGGUGAGUGACGCGUAGGUAACCUGCCUGGUAUCGGUGGAUAACUAUUGGAAACGAUAGCUAAUACCUCAUGAUCUUGAUUAUUGCAUGAUAAUUGAUUGAAAGAUGCUAUUGCAUCACUACCUGAUGGACCUGCGUUGUAUUAGCUAGUAUGUGAGGUAACGGCUCACCUAGGCGACGAUACAUAGCCGACCUGAGAGGGUGAUCGGCCACACUGGGACUGAGACACGGCCCAGAAUCCUACGGGAGGCAGACGUAGGGAAUCUUCGGCAAUGGACGAAAGUCUGACCGAGCAACGCCGCGUGAGUGAAGAAGGUUUUCGGAUCGGAAAGAUCUGUUGUAAGAGAAGAACGGGUGUGAGAGUGGAAAGUUCACACUGUGACGGUAUCUUACCAGAAAGGGACGGCUAACUACGUG
rnacentral:rRNA from 1 species